GAUGAACGCUGGCGGCGUGCCUAAUACAUGCCAGUCGAGCGAACAGACGAGGAGCUUGCUCCUCUGACGUUAGCGGCGGACGGGCGAGUAACACGUGGAUAACCUACCUAUAAGACUGGGAUAACUUCGGGAAACCGGAGCUAAUACCGGAUAAUAUAUUGAACCGCAUGGUUCAAUAGUGAAAGACGGUUUUGCUGUCACUUAUAGAUGGAUCCGCGCCGCAUUAGCUAGUUGGUAAGGUAACGGCUUACCAAGGCAACGAUGCGUAGCCGACCUGAGAGGGUGAUCGGCCACACUGGAACUGAGACACGGUCCAGACUCCUACGGGAGGCAGCAGUAGGGAAUCUUCCGCAAUGGGCGAAAGCUUGACGGAGCAACGCCGCGUGAGUGAUGAAGGUCUUCGGAUCGUAAAACUCUGUUAUUAGGGAAGAACAAAUGUGUAAGUAACUAUGCACGUCUUGACGGUACCUAAUCAGAAAGCCACGGCUAACUACGUG
rnacentral:rRNA from 1 species